GCGGGGGUCGCCAAGCCUGGUCAAAACCCAUGGCAGAAGCCAGGCCAAGACCAGCGGCGCAGGGUUCAGGCCCCUGUCCCGAAGGGGUUCGUGGGUUCAAAUCCCACCCCCCGCACCA
rnacentral:tRNA from 1 species